rnacentral:rRNA from 1 species
GACGAACGCUGGCGGCGUGCUUAACACAUGCAAGUCGAACGGAAAGGCCUGCUUUCCCUUGUGUAUUGCGGGUACUCGAGUGGCGAACGGGUGAGUAACACGUGAGUGAUCUGCCCCCAACUUGGGUAUAAGCCUGGGAAACUGUGUCUAAUUCCCGAUAGGACUGCAGGGUGGUGCCUGUGGUGGAAAACGAUUUUCUAGUGGUUGGGGAUGAGCUCGCGGCCUAUCAGCUUGUUGGUGGGGUAAUGGCCUACCAAGGCGGCGACGGGUAGCCGGCCUGAGAGGGUGGACGGCCACAUUGGGACUGAGAUACGGCCCAGACUCCUACGGGAGGCAGCAGUGGGGAAUAUUGCACAAUGGGCGGAAGCCUGAUGCAGCGACGCCGCGUGGGGGAUGACGGCCUUCGGGUUGUAAACUCCUUUCGACCGCGAGGAAGCCACCUGGUUGGAAGGGUGGUGACGGUAGUGGAAGAAGAAGCACCGGCUAACUACGUG